rnacentral:rRNA from 1 species
CGAGUGGCGGACGGGUGAGUAAUGUCUGGGAAACUGCCUGAUGGAGGGGGAUAACUACUGGAAACGGUAGCUAAUACCGCAUAACGUCGCAAGACCAAAGAGGGGGACCUUCGGGCCUCUUGCCAUCGGAUGUGCCCAGAUGGGAUUAGCUAGUAGGUGGGGUAACGGCUCACCUAGGCGACGAUCCCUAGCUGGUCUGAGAGGAUGACCAGCCACACUGGAACUGAGACACGGUCCAAACUCCUACGGGAGGCAGCAUG